UUUCCUACUAGAAGGAUCCAAAAUAGAUAAAAAAAGGCGGUGAACAGAGAAGUACAAAAAUACGGAGUUUUUCCCACCACCCCCACAAGUCUCUCUCAAAGAAUACCGAAUACAAAGCAAAUGUGGUUAAUCGCCAGGCAAUAAUCACAGAACCACUAACAAUUAUUUAACCAAAUAAUGGUAAAUAAAAAAAUAUCAAAUGUGAAUCCCGUAACAAGUAAGAGAACAUGGGGGCAAAAAAGAUUAAAAUCAUAUCACAGGAGGAACAGUAGUGUCACAUGAUAAACAUCUCUCACUCUUGCUCUUUCUAGAAGAUCAAAGCCACCAUUGCCCAUCCCAUUGCCAACCCUCCUGCCAUCUUCUGCAGGCUCUUUAUCGU
rnacentral:misc_RNA from 1 species